CGAGCAGGUAGCAACUACAAUUAACUUCAAGAGGGAAGCACUUGGCCUGAUUCUGGUCGCUGUGACUGUAACAAAGAGACCGGUGAAUGUUGUCCAGAACCAGCGAGGCUUAACAAGAACACAGCUGACGAACUCUGACGCGAACAAGCGACUCAUUCUGUACAGCGGUAAAGAACGCUGUCCUGAGAAACUGAUUCCCUACGAUAAAUAAAAGGACAUGCUAACAGUCAUUAAUAAGGUUUCGUUUCAGUUACCAUUUUGUUCAAGACUGGAAAGUUUCAUUGUUCAGUUAUAAAAGCCAAGGGGUGUACAAACGUCACGACUUCCGCCAAAAUUCUGUGAGAUAAAGUUACUUAACUUGCUUUAAUGAUGGCGUGUACUUCUCUACAAACCAAACUGGCGUAAAGAUAUGACGAAAGAUCAUUGAAAAGAUAUGUAUGAGGUCGGAACAGGCGUGAAUCUAAUCCGCUGAGGACAUAACAAGAGGAAAUGAAGACUACUGUGGGCUAUUUUGAAGGUUUCCGAGAAACAAAUGUCUAAAUAAAGUCAACUUAGAUGGCUGAUCGUCGCAUUUACUUAAAGACUAAAAAUUACUCUGUAUUGGUAAUUAUUUACGUGAUGAAGUGAGAAAAACCACGAAAAACUCGGGACUUCCGGAAUCCGGGUCGAAAAUUUAAACCCAAUGCAAACCACUCGGGAGAAAUAUUUUAAUUUCAGACGUUACGUGCCGGGAAAUG